UACGAAGGGGGCUAGCGUUGUUCGGAAUCACUGGGCGUAAAGCGCACGUAGGCGGGUUUCCAAGUCGGUUGUGAAAUCCCUCAGCUCAACUGAGGAACCGCAUCCGAUACUGUUUGCCUUGAGGACGAGAGGGAAGUGGAAUUCCCGGUGUAGUGGUGAAAUGCGUAGAUAUCGGGAGGAACACCAGUGGCGAAGGCGACUUCCUGGCCUGUUCUUGACGCUGAGGCGCGAAAGCUAGGGGAGCAAACGGGG
rnacentral:rRNA from 1 species